GCACCGGAUUCUGAUUCCGGCAUUCCGAGGUUCGAAUCCUCGUACCCCAGCCA
rnacentral:tRNA from 1 species